GGCUCUUUCAGAGUCCGAGUUGUAAUUUGAAGAAGGUAUCUUUGGGUCUGGCUCUUGUCUAUGUUUCUUGGAACAGAACGUCACAGAGGGUGAGAAUCCCGUGCGAUGAGAUGAUCCAGGCCUAUGUAAAGUUCCUUCGAAGAGUCGAGUUGUUUGGGAAUGCAGCUCUAAGUGGGUGGUAAAUUCCAUCUAAAGCUAAAUAUUGGCGAGAGACCGAUAGCGAACAAGUACAGUGAUGGAAAGAUGAAAAGAACUUUGAAAAGAGAGUGAAAAAGUACGUGAAAUUGUUGAAAGGGAAGGGCUUGAGAUCAGACUUGGUAUUUUGUAUGUUACUUCUUCGGGGGUGGCCUCUACAGUUUAUCGGGCCAGCAUCAGUUUGGGCGGUAGGAGAAUUGCGUUGGAAUGUGGCACGGCUUCGGUUGUGUGUUAUAGCCUUCGUCGAUACUGCCAGCCUAGACUGAGGACUGCGGUUUAUACCUAGGAUGUUGGCAUAAUGAUCUUAAGUCGCCCG
rnacentral:rRNA from 1 species